ACCUUCAAGACCAGGCUAUCCCUGCUGUCUGCUGGCAUGGGGGCACUUGAUGUCCAGGAGGGUGGACUUAGCUUCGCUGGGCGGACAGCUCUGGCCCAGGGUGAUAGCAGUGCCCUCUCUGGACUUUGCCUAGGUUCCGUGGUUCCUCUUCUGUGGUCUCACUCUUCCCUACUCUCCCCCUCACUCUGAGGUUAAGGGGUCACUUAAAGCCUUGCCUCUGGGUCAUCUGGUAAGCCUGAGGAGGAUGUAGAGUCCGUGCUGGAGUCUUGGGCACAACAUUUUGUGUACACCAUGGCAAGCAGAUGGCACCAGGAGAAAUGGAGCCCCUGCCAGUGUGAGUCGUAGCAGUGCAGGAGGGCUCACCCUGGAGGAGACAGCGGCCUCGGCUGAUGCCUACACAGUGAAUUCCAGAGGCUUAGGAAGCGCGUCCCUGCCCUGGGUCCAGGCCUUUCUCAGGAAGCCCUGUGUUCAGGAGGCCAUCGUUGAAGUCAGCUUGUAGGGGGUGGGCAGGUGCUUCCAGCCGGAGGGGUCGUCGGCUGUGAAUGUUCCAGAUGAAUGUCUUGUUCUGAGAGCGUCAUUCUUUGCGGAUGCAUGAAUGCCAGCAGGCACCCUUUUUCCUGGUGGUAGAGGCGUUCAUUCGGCUGCUGCAUCUUCUAAACAAGCCUCCAUCCAGCCUUUGUAGUUCUGUGCUGCGAACUUGGCCUCAAGAAGAUUCCGUAAGGUGUAGGACACUUUUUAACUUCUGCGCAGCGUGCUGUACUGUAGAUCGGGAGCCCAGUGACCUCGCCCACCUUCCCUGCUUCUGCAGCCUGCCUGCCUCUGCAUUGGUCAGAGGGAUUCUUAACUGAAAACUUGUGGGUGUUGGGGAAAGCUGUUGGGUUGUAAAUGACUGGUGUGGAGGAGUCUUCCUUGGAUGGAGUUGGUUGUUAAAUGGGUAGGGUUUGUGGUUUAACAGUGGGAAGGCGCAAGUUAGCCACAAAUUCUGCCGACUUGGUAGAUGCCGUAUCUAAUUUGGGCUUUGGGACGUCUUCUGGACUAAGAAGG
rnacentral:lncRNA from 1 species